GUGAGUAGUUCAGAGUUUGAUCCUGGCUCAGGAUGAACGCUAGCGGCAGGCCUAACACAUGCAAGUCGAGGGGCAGCGGGGAUGAAGCUUGCUUCAUCUGCCGGCGACCGGCGCACGGGUGAGUAACACGUAUGCAACCUGCCCGCCACAGGGGGAUAAACGCUGGAAACGGCGCCUAAUACCCCAUACUAUCGCUAAGCUGCAUGGCAUGGCGAUGAAAACUCCGGUGGUGGCGGAUGGGCAUGCGGCGCAUUAGCUAGUUGGAGGGGUAACGGCCCACCAAGGCGACGAUGCGUAGGGGUUCUGAGAGGAAGGUCCCCCACACUGGUACUGAGACACGGACCAG
rnacentral:rRNA from 1 species